rnacentral:rRNA from 1 species
CCUACGGGUGGCAGCAGUGAGGAAUAUUGGUCAAUGGUCGUGAGUCUGAACCAGCCAAGUAGCGUGCAGGAUGACUGCCCUAUGGGUUGUAAACUGCUUUUAUGUGGGAAUAAAAUGUUCCACGUGUGGGAUUUUGUAGGUACCAUAUGAAUAAGGAUCGGCUAACUCCGUGCCAGCAGCCGCGGUAAUACGGAGGGUCCGGGCGUUAUCCGGAUUUAUUGGGUUUAAAGGGAGCGUAGGUGGAUUGUUAAGUCAGUUGUGAAAGUUUGCGGCUCAACCGUAAAAUUGCAGUUGAGACUGGCAGGCUUGAGUACAGUAGAGGUGGGCGGAAUUCGUGGUGUAGCGGUGAAAUGCUUAGAUAUCACGAAGAACUCCGAUUGCGAAGGCAGCUUACUGGACCGCAACUGACACUGAGGCUCGAAAGUGUGGGUAUCAAACAGGAUUAGAUACCCGAGUAGUC